rnacentral:lncRNA from 1 species
ACUUCACGCUGAUGAAUGGCUCUUGCCGGCUUUCGGCUCUGAUGAGGGGUCUGCCCGCCGCCGAUUGAAAACACUAAUGAACUUACUGCGCCAUUUGAAAUUCACACGCACCAACAAAAUGGGGGGUGGGCAUUUCAGGUCAGCUGAGUCACCCGAGGAGGUGGCAGUGCAAGACACUGCCGGGAAGACGGAUUCCGAGGCAGAAGGGUGUAAUUAAGGAUUUCCACCCCCGAAGUUCCAUCAUUUGAGGCCGUUAGGAAAAGCUGAUGUUGUGCAGUGCCAAACUACCACACGCUUCCUCCUUCGGAUGAAUCCCUGGAAAGCAGAGAGGCAGCUCGCUACGUGACCAUCAUGCUUUUUACCUCACUGAGCUGUUGUCAAGAGAGGGCGGGGAUGGCGGGCAGCUCACGUCGUGCCCUCCGCAGCAAUAAAAACUGGAGCGGGAGAAGAAAUGCAAGACAUCGCUGUCUGUUUUGCA